rnacentral:misc_RNA from 1 species
UCUCUAUAAAUCAUAUCAUGAUCCGGAUAGGGGAUUAAUUCAUUCGGGAAUGAUCAGGGAAUUAUGUAUAGCAUUUAGGAGAGCAACUGGGCAUAAACCCAGCAGGAUUAUAUUCUACAGGUGAUAGUUUUAUUUCAUAAUGUGGAAGAUGGAAUGUUUUUAUGGGAUUGCUAAUAAUUUUUUUAUUUCUUGUCACAGAGACAGUGUUAGUGAGGGAAAAUUUAGCGAGGUCUUGCUACAUGAGAUGAAUGCCAUACGAAAGGUACCAUGGGCUUGGUUGAUAUUAGUGUUAGUCUAUGGGUUAAAUGUAGCAAAGUCAAUGAUAUUAGUUUUUAUUUUUGGGGUCCACUUUCAUAUUUGUAGGACCAACUCUCAUCUACAUGUUCUAUUCUAAUUCGUUUGCCAUGCCAUGUAGGAUUGCCUACAUGGAAUCACUGCUGAAUUCUAUAAUUAUUCUCAUGGGUGUUGGUUUUUCCUAUUAUUCUACACUUGAGUAUUUAUGGUUUUGACUGGAAAGCUUUUUUGCUUGCCUGAUGUCACUGUUUGACUGAUUCGUGUAACUUUUUAGUCAAUUUUCAUGAGGAUCACAAAAAUCUGUGGAUUCAGUUGUGACUAAUAAGAUGUAUCAUUAGAAUGUGCUUAGCGCUAAAGCAUUCUCUGGUUGUAAUAACUAUCUUCUUUCUAGGCUUGUUCCUCACUUGAGGAGGGAUACCUUCCUCCGGUUACCUAUAUUGUGGUGCAGAAGAGGCAUCAUACACGACUUUUUCCAGUUGAUCGUCGUCAGACAGACAGGAGUGGCAAUAUUCUACCAGGCACUGUUAUCGAUACUAGGAUUUGCCACCCAAUGGAGUUUGAUUUCUUCCUCAAGAGCCAUGCUGGAAUUCAGGUAUUGUUGGUUCAACCUAUUAAAUAUAUGAUUAAUGAGAAUGAUCCUGCUCCCCUUGGUGUUGUAUUGAUUUUUUUGAUCGGAGAACUGAUACUUAGCUGCUUUGAACACUUGCAGGGAACAAGCAGACCUAC